rnacentral:rRNA from 1 species
UACGAAGGGGGCUAGCGUUGCUCGGAAUCACUGGGCGUAAAGGGUGCGUAGGCGGGUUUUUAAGUCAGGGGUGAAAUCCUGGAGCUCAACUCCAGAACUGCCUUUGAUACUGAAGAUCUCGAGUCCGGGAGAGGUGAGUGGAACUGCGAGUGUAGAGGUGAAAUUCGUAGAUAUUCGCAAGAACACCAGUGGCGAAGGCGGCUCACUGGCCCGGAACUGACGCUGAGACGCGAAAGCGUGGGGAGCAAACAGG